UUAAGCGACUAAGCGUACACGGUGGAUGCCCUGGCAGUCAGAGGCGAUGAAGGACGUGCUAAUCUGCGAAAAGCGUCGGUAAGGUGAUAUGAACCGUUAUAGCCGGCGAUGUCCGAAUGGGGAAACCCAGUGCAAUUCGUUGCACUAUCGUUAACUGAAUACAUAGGUUAACGAGGCGAACCGGGGGAACUGAAACAUCUAAGUACCCCGAGGAAAAGAAAUCAACCGAGAUUCCCCCAGUAGCGGCGAGCGAACGGGGAGCAGCCCGGAGUCUGAAUCAGCUUGUGUGUUAGUGGAAGCGUCUGGAAAGUCGCAGGGUACAGGGUGAUACUCCCGUACACUAAAACGCACAGGCUGUGAACUCGAAGAGUAGGGCGGGACACGUGGUAUCCUGUCUGAAUAUGGGGGGACCAUCCUCCAAGGCUAAAUACUCCUGACUGACCGAUAGUGAACCAGUACCGUGAGGGAAAGGCGAAAAGAACCCCGGCGAGGGGAGUGAAAAAGAACCUGAAACCGUGUACGUACAAGCAGUAGGAGCCUCUUUAUGGGGUGACUGCGUACCUUUUGUAUAAUGGGUCAGCGACUUAUAUUCUGUAGCAAGGUUAACCGUAUAGGGGAGCCGCAGGGAAACCGAGUCUUAACUGGGCGUUAAGUUGCAGGGUAUAGACCCGAAACCCGGUGAUCUAGCCAUGGGCAGGUUGAAGGUUGGGUAACACUAACUGGAGGACCGAACCGACUAAUGUUGAAAAAUUAGCGGAUGACUUGUGGCUGGGGGUGAAAGGCCAAUCAAACCGGGAGAUAGCUGGUUCUCCCCGAAAGCUAUUUAGGUAGCGCCUCGUGAAUUCAUCUUCGGGGGUAGAGCACUGUUUCGGCUAGGGGGUCAUCCCGACUUACCAACCCGAUGCAAACUACGAAUACCGAAGAAUGUUAUCACGGGAGACACACGGCGGGUGCUAACGUCCGUCGUGAAGAGGGAAACAACCCAGACCGCCAGCUAAGGUCCCAAAGUCAUGGUUAAGUGGGAAACGAUGUGGGAAGGCCCAGACAGCCAGGAUGUUGGCUUAGAAGCAGCCAUCAUUUAAAGAAAGCGUAAUAGCUCACUGGUCGAGUCGGCCUGCGCGGAAGAUGUAACGGGGCUAAACCAUGCACCGAAGCUGCGGCAGCGACACUAUGUGUUGUUGGGUAGGGGAGCGUUCUGUAAGCCGUCGAAGGUGACCUGUGAGGGUUGCUGGAGGUAUCAGAAGUGCGAAUGCUGACAUAAGUAACGAUAAUGCGGGUGAAAAACCCGCACGCCGGAAGACCAAGGGUUCCUGUCCAACGUUAAUCGGGGCAGGGUGAGUCGACCCCUAAGGCGAGGCCGAAAGGCGUAGUCGAUGGGAAACAGGUUAAUAUUCCUGUACUCGGUGUUACUGCGAAGGGGGGACGGAGAAGGCUAUGUUGGCCGGGCGACGGUUGUCCCGGUUUAAGCAUGUAGGCGGAUGUUCCAGGUAAAUCCGGAACGUUACUAACGCUGAGGUGUGAUGACGAGGCACUACGGUGCUGAAGUGACAAAUGCCCUGCUUCCAGGAAAAGCCUCUAAGCAUCAGGUAACAUCAAAUCGUACCCCAAACCGACACAGGUGGUCAGGUAGAGAAUACCAAGGCGCUUGAGAGAACUCGGGUGAAGGAACUAGGCAAAAUGGUGCCGUAACUUCGGGAGAAGGCACGCUGAUAUGUAGGUGAAGUGGUUUACCCAUGGAGCUGAAAUCAGUCGAAGAUACCAGCUGGCUGCAACUGUUUAUUAAAAACACAGCACUGUGCAAACACGAAAGUGGACGUAUACGGUGUGACGCCUGCCCGGUGCCGGAAGGUUAAUUGAUGGGGUUAUCCGUAAGGAGAAGCUCUUGAUCGAAGCCCCGGUAAACGGCGGCCGUAACUAUAACGGUCCUAAGGUAGCGAAAUUCCUUGUCGGGUAAGUUCCGACCUGCACGAAUGGCGUAAUGAUGGCCAGGCUGUCUCCACCCGAGACUCAGUGAAAUUGAACUCGCUGUGAAGAUGCAGUGUACCCGCGGCAAGACGGAAAGACCCCGUGAACCUUUACUAUAGCUUGACACUGAACACUGGUCCUUGAUGUGUAGGAUAGGUGGGAGGCUUUGAAGUGUGGACGCCAGUCUGCAUGGAGCCAUCCUUGAAAUACCACCCUUUAAUGGCUGGUGUUCUAACGUGGGCCCGUUAUCCGGGUUGCGGACAGUGUCUGGUGGGUAGUUUGACUGGGGCGGUCUCCUCCUAAAGAGUAACGGAGGAGCACGAAGGUCAGCUAAUCCUGGUCGGACAUCAGGAGGUUAGUGCAAUGGCAUAAGCUGGCUUGACUGCGAGCGUGACGGCGCGAGCAGGUGCGAAAGCAGGUCAUAGUGAUCCGGUGGUUCUGAAUGGAAGGGCCAUCGCUCAACGGAUAAAAGGUACUCCGGGGAUAACAGGCUGAUACCGCCCAAGAGUUCAUAUCGACGGCGGUGUUUGGCACCUCGAUGUCGGCUCAUCACAUCCUGGGGCUGAAGUAGGUCCCAAGGGUAUGGCUGUUCGCCAUUUAAAGUGGUACGCGAGCUGGGUUUAGAACGUCGUGAGACAGUUCGGUCCCUAUCUGCCGUGGGCGCUGGAGAAUUGAGGGGGGCUGCUCCUAGUACGAGAGGACCGGAGUGGACGCAUCACUGGUGUUCGGGUUGUCAUGCCAAUGGCAUUGCCCGGUAGCUAAAUGCGGAAGAGAUAAGUGCUGAAAGCAUCUAAGCACGAAACUUGCCCCGAGAUGAGUUCUCCCUGACUCCUUGAGAGUCCUGAAGGAACGUUGAAGACGACGACGUUGAUAGGCCGGGUGUGUAAGCGCAGCGAUGCGUUGAGCUAACCGGUACUAAUGAACCGUGAGGCUUAACCUU
rnacentral:rRNA from 1 species